GUGGUUUUUGACUCAGUGGUUGAGUGCUUGCCUAGCAUAUGCAAGGCCCUGGGUUCAAUCCCCAGUACUGCA
rnacentral:tRNA from 1 species